rnacentral:rRNA from 1 species
CCUACGGGUGGCAGCAGUGGGGAAUAUUGCACAAUGGGGGAAACCCUGAUGCAGCGACGCCGCGUGAGUGAAGAAGUAAUUCGUUAUGUAAAGCUCUAUCAGCAGGGAAGAAAAUGACGGUACCUGAGUAAGAAGCCCCGGCUAACUAAGGGCCAGCAGCCGCGGUAAUACGUAGGGGGCAAGCGUUAUCCGGAUUUACUGGGUGGAAAGGGAGCGUAGACGGCAGUGCAAGGCUGGAGUGAAAGGCGGGGGGCCACCCCCCGGACAGCUCUGGAAACUGUACGGCUGGAGUGCAGGAGAGGUAAGUUGAAUUCCUAGUGUAGCGGUGAAAUGCGUAGAUAUUAGGAGGAACACCAGUGGCGAGGGCUGCUUACUGGACUGUAACUGACGUUGAGGCUCGAAAGCGUGGGGAGCAAACAGGAUUAGAUACCCUGGUAGUC